AGAGUUUGAUCAUGGCUCAGAUUGAACGCUGGCGGCAGGCUUAACACAUGCAAGUCGAGCGGUAACAGGAGAAGCUUGCUUCUCGCUGACGAGCGGCGGACGGGUGAGUAAUACUUAGGAAUCUACCUAGUAGUGGGGGAUAGCACGGGGAAACUCGUAUUAAUACCGCAUACGACCUACGGGAGAAAGGGGGCAGUUUACUGCUCUCGCUAUUAGAUGAGCCUAAGUCGGAUUAGCUAGAUGGUGGGGUAAAGGCCUACCAUGGCGACGAUCUGUAGCUGGUCUGAGAGGAUGAUCAACCACACCGGGACUGAGACACGGCCCGGACUCCUACGGGAGGCAGCAGUGGGGAAUAUUGGACAAUGGGGGAAACCCUGAUCCAGCCAUGCCGCGUGUGUGAAGAAGGCCUUUUGGUUGUAAAGCACUUUAAGCAGUGAAGAAGACUCCGUGGUUAAUACCCACGGACGAUGACAUUAGCUGCAGAAUAAGCACCGGCUAACUCUGUGCCAGCAGCCGCGGUAAUACAGAGGGUGCAAGCGUUAAUCGGAAUUACUGGGCGUAAAGGGAGCGUAGGUGGCUCUAUAAGUCAGAUGUGAAAUCCCCGGGCUUAACCUGGGAACUGCAUCUGAAACUGUAGAGCUAGAGUAUGUGAGAGGAAGGUAGAAUUCCAGGUGUAGCGGUGAAAUGCGUAGAGAUCUGGAGGAAUACCGAUGGCGAAGGCAGCCUUCUGGCAUAAUACUGACACUGAGGCUCGAAAGCGUGGGUAGCAA
rnacentral:rRNA from 1 species